CCCUUAGAUGUUCUGGGCCGCACGCGUGCUACACUGAGUAAUUCAAUGGGUAAGGGAACGCUAGAGCAUUACCUAAUCUUGAAAUUUGCUCGUGAUGGGGAUCGACGGUUGCAAUUUUCCGUCGUGAACGAGGAAUACCUUGUAGGCGCAUGUCGUCAUCAUGCGCCGAAUACGUCCCUGCCCUUUGUACACACCGCCCGUCGCUCCUACCGAUUGAGUGAUCCGGUGAGGCUCUGGGACCUGGACGGAAAGAGCGUUUCGCUUGUUCUGUUUGGGAAACUUGGUCGAACCUUAUCAUUUAGAGGAAGGAGAAGUCGUAACA
rnacentral:rRNA from 1 species